rnacentral:lncRNA from 1 species
UGUAAUUCUGGUUAAAUCAAACCGGAAAAUCUGGUUCCGAAGUACAACCAAAUUCUGGUUUGUGACAACAGAACUAUUUUUCAGUGAGGAAAAGGGAUACUCUUCAUAAUAAUUUUGCCCUUCAAAGCAUUUUGACAUCGGUUUGAUAACCAUUGAGUAUUUUCACCUCGCAUCAUUAGCGUCACGUGCUUUCCUUGCAAAAAAAAAGGCCGCGCCAUUGGGCCAUUGCCCGCUGAUAUUUUGGAUUCGAGAGGCUCUCUAGUCCUUUUCCUUCGAUCAAUCUGGAAAUAUACUGCAAUAUCGUCAAAAAUAUUUUGCAACGCAAAAUUAAAACUGAAAUAACUCAUUACCUAAUGACGCCACUAGGAUUGAGCAUUGUCCCAUUGAAAUCGCGAAAACCAUAGCCACCGAAAUUCUCCUCCAGGGUGCGUUGGUUGUCUUUAAUCUUCCCGUUUCGCGCCAACAGCGCAACCACUUCCUCCUCCGUGAACCCAAAGAACCGAGCUAGCGAGUUGUAGUGGGGGGUUUGGCUUCCGUGCCCUCCUUGCGCAGGUGGACAACUCAAACUCCACGGUCGAUACUCCCGUGAUGAGCAUCUUGCUGAACCGUAGUAGCCGUCGUUGAAGAUUUCCUCGAAGAACUUGGCCAUGAAUUCGGCCAUUUUGGAGUAGUAGGCGGCGGCGUAGGCGGGAGGCAAGGGGGUGUCGUAGGCGUCGAUGAUGAGGAUAGGGUCAGUCUCGUUGGCGACGCAACCGCAAAGGAGAGGAACGAAUUCCAAGAGGGUUCUCUUGUCAGCGUUUCCGUUGGUGAUCCGGGUGAAUAUCGGGUCGUUGAAGUGGGUCGUGACAGUAGUAUGGUCUUCGAUGAUCUGAAAUCAAAUUUUGAAUUUUUUGAUCGGUAAUAGGCAUUUAAAGUAAAUGUUGAAUAAAAUAGUUGGUUUCGAUCAUUUCUCGUGAAAUAGACAGAUUUAGUGACUACGUAAUUCGAUUAACAUCAAACUCAGUGGUUCAAACCAUAACAAAUAACAUGCCCUCAUUUACUGAUUUUUAACACCUUCUAGUUUCAUUGCCAUGUAGUAGUCAUUAAGUACGACACUCCUUUACCACAAAUCACUCGGCGGACUUAGAGGUUAUGUUUACAAAAUGAAUCAAUCAAUAUCCAUACAACUGCAGCGAUAGGACGCCUGUUUGAUGUAUCAAACAUGAUUUAUUACCUAGUAGUCAAAUUUUAGGAAGAAUAUAUACCUGCUUAAAUAUUCGUCCGAUCUCUUUGAGCGCGUUUUGAUAAUUGGUUGCCACAAAUGAUCCGAAGCUGAUUUUAAUCACGGGAUACCGAUUCAUGUGUUUUCCCUGAAUUCGUUCAUAGCGGAGGUGUCGGCCAUGACAUUAAGCCCCGAAAAGAGACGUUUUGACUGGCUAAGGUCAUACUUGGAGUUGAAAAAGUAAUCCACGGUUGAUGCCAUGAGUGAUUUUCCGAAUCCAGGUGGUUUAGUCACCAAUACAAUUGGACCCUUGUGCUUCUCCUCGCGGGAUAUGAAGUCGGGAAGGAAUAGGGUUUUGUCUACGUACAGCUUUUGGUGAUUCUCUUUGAAUUCUUAAAGUCAGUGAUUUGUCGUUGGUUGGAUUUCGUCUUCGAUAAAAGUCAGUUUUUCAACAUUGGUAAUUUUUGUCUGGUUUCUAGUUACUACAGAUUCGCUCGACCCUUCAGUAAACAGGACGUGUAAAAUUGAUAAUAAGGUCGCAUAAAUAGUUCUUUCCAUUUUCAAAAGUAGAGCGACGAUUUAAGGUUUCUUAUAACCUGAAAACUUUAAAACAACACCACACCAGAAGAGCUCUAAGUCAACGCCAUGACUAUAGUUAUAGCGUUUUGGGUAGUGAAGUGAUUUUAUCAUAAAUCGAGAAGAGAUUUAUCGGUGUUUAUUUGUGACAACUCCCAUGCGCUUUUGCCAAACUGCAGCAUAUUUUACUUUGUCUUAAGGUAUAUAAUUUUAAUUGGAGUACAUACAUUAAAAAUGGCGUUAUGUCAAUGGCCAUUUUGAGUGCCUACAUCGUGUCAGCCGUAGUAAAUACGAGAAAAAGACAAUUGAUUUAGUACACCCAUUCUCGUUCUCUCAUUCCUGACGUGUUACCUCUCUAUAAUGCCAAAAUAACGUUAGGUUGCGGCGACUGAACUUCGGUUUUAUUGAACAGCGCGAACUUUUUCGGUUCAGGCAGGUAACCAGUUUUCGGUCUACGAAACCGAAUUCCGGUAAGCUGAACCAGAGUAACCCUUUCGUGACCGAAAACAUCGAUUAUAUCUAAACCGAAGAAAUUUGCUAUUCCUAUGCAAUAUACACGAGCUUCAUUUCACCGUUUGUCUCGAUUUUUUAAAAAUAUGAACUUUUCGUGCAAUUU